rnacentral:lncRNA from 1 species
CAACUACCACCGCUGUAUCAGAAGAAGAGAAUUAGGUAGCAAGAAUGUUAUUGUCAAUGGGGAAACUGGAUCAAAGAAAGCUAAUAAUGACAACUGUGUCCCCGUCGUCAACAUUGUAGAUUUGGAUCCUCCGUUGCCUGUGAUCAAGAGAGAUAGUGUUAGCAAUAAUGGACACGGAGAGACUCUUUGGAAGAGGAGAUCGGGUGGGGCUGCACUUACAAGUUUACACCUUCAACGUAUUCAACUCAAUACGCGUCUUCUUGAUCAGCCCACCACCGUUUGAUUUUUUUGAUCAUAUACAAAGAACCCAGAGGUCAGAUCGAUAUAUAACAUAUAAUAUAUCGAAAUAUCAAUUAAUGCACAUAGAAUAUGUGAUUGAUUUGUUUGAAGUCUUUGUCCAGUUUUGGUUAGUGUUAUUCCAUUUUUCUUUCUCCUAUUAAUUGUUUCACAAGGCAUCAUCACGUGAUGAUCACGCUGGUGCUUGCUAGAAAUGUACAUGAAAACUAUAUGAAUCAAUGGCCGAGCCAUAAAUCUCGAAUUCAACUGUGUAGAACAAUAGGGAUUGGCGGAUGAAACCCUUUGAUUUUCCUACCCAUUUUUAUGGAAAUUCCACUAUGUCUUAUACCGGCUUUUUCUUCACCGACAUUCUCCAGAAAUCAGUAUACAUAAACGAAAUUACAUUCGGUACACUUUGUAGUCAUGUAAAAGAUUAUUUAUGUGGCACAUAAUGCUAUUAUCAUAAUUGGGUUGGACACAAUUCAAGGAAUUUAUUUACAGAUCAGAAAGUAUUGACUUUGAAAUUAAGUUUAAAGUUAUGGCUCGGUGUUUUGUUUUUUUUUUGGCUUUCCUUUGAUUUGUUUUGAGGGAGUGGUAUAAUUUCG